rnacentral:rRNA from 1 species
ACACGACUACAUUAGAUACCCGGGUAGUCCUAGCCGUAAACGAUACUCGCUAGGUGUCGGCCACGGUGCGACCGUUGUCGGUGCCGUAGGGAAGCCGUGAAGCGAGCCACCUGGGAAGUACGGCCGCAAGGCUGAAACUUAAAGGAAUUGGCGGGGGAGCACAACAACGGGUGGAGCUUGCGGUUUAAUUGGAUUCAACGCCGGAAAUCUUACCGGGACCGACAGCAACAUGAAGGCCAAGCUGAAGACUUUGCCGGAUUAGCCG